rnacentral:tRNA from 1 species
GCGGCAGUAGCUCAGUCUGGUAGAGCACCGGCCUUCCAAGCCGACGGUCAGGGGUUCGAAUCCCCUCUGCCGCUCCA